AGAGUUUGAUCCUGGCUCAGGAUGAACGCUGGCGGCGUGCCUAAUACAUGCAAGUCGAGCGGUAAGGCUCCUUCGGGAGUACACGAGCGGCGGACGGCUGAGUAACACGUAGGAACGUACCCCAAAGUGAGGCAUAAGCACCAGAAAUGGUGUCUAAUACCGCAUGUGGUCUUCGGAUUAAAGCCCUCUGGGCGCUUUGG
rnacentral:rRNA from 1 species